rnacentral:rRNA from 1 species
GAUGAACGCUGGCGGCGUGCCUAAUACAUGCAAGUCGAGCGAACGGACGAGAAGCUUGCUUCUCUGAUGUUAGCGGCGGACGGGUGGGUAACACGUGGAUAACCUACCUAUAAGACUGGGAUAACUUCGGGAAACCGGAGCUAAUACCGGAUGAUAUUUUGAACCGCAUGGUUCAAAGGUGAAAGACGGUCUUGCUGUCACUUAUAGAUGGAUCCGCGCUGCAUUAGCUAGUUGGUAAGGUAACGGCUUACCAAGGCAACGAUGCAUAGCCGACCUGAGAGGGUGAUCGGCCACACUGGAACUGAGACACGGUCCAGACUCCUACGGGAGGCAGCAGUAGGGAAUCUUCCGCAAUGGGCGAAAGCCUGACGGAGCAACGCCGCGUGAGUGAUGAAGGUCUUCGGAUCGUAAAACUCUGUUAUUAGGGAAGAACAUAUGUGUAAGUAACUGUGCACAUCUUGACGGUACCUAAUCAGAAAGCCACGGCUAACUACGUG